rnacentral:rRNA from 1 species
ACGGGAGGCAGCAGUGGGGAAUAUUGGGCAAUGGGCGAAAGCCUGACCCAGCGACGCCGCGUGAGGGAAGAAGAUCUUCGGAUUGUAAACCUUAGUCAACAGGGACGAAGAAAGUGACGGUACCUGUGGAGGAAGCCACGGCUAACUACGUGCCAGCAGCCGCGGUAAUACGUAGGUGGCGAGCGUUAUCCGGAUUUACUGGGUGUAAAGGGCGCGUAGGCGGGGAUGCAAGUCAGAUGUGAAAUCUAUGGGCUUAACUCAUAAACUGCAUUUGAAACUGUAUCUCUUGAGUGCUGGAGAGGUAGAUGGAAUUCCUUGUGUAGCGGUGAAAUGCGUAGAUAUAAGGAAGAACACCAGUGGCGAAGGCGAUCUACUGGACAGUAACUGACGCUGAGGCGCGAAAGCGUGGGGAGCAAACAGGAUUAGAUACCCUGGUA